rnacentral:rRNA from 1 species
GUGAGGACCGGUAUCGGACCUGAGAAGAGCUUAUGCAGGCAUGAGUAGCGAUAAACCAGAUGAGAAAUCUGGUCGCCGUAAGCCCAAGGUUUCCUGGGGAAGGAUAAUCCUCCCAUGGCUUAGUCGGUACCUAAGCCGAGGCCGGAAGGCGUAGGUGAUGGAAGACAGGUUAAUAUUCCUGUACUACCGAGGAUGGCGUUGAAGUGAGCGGGGACGGAGAAGGGUAGCCCAACACGGCGCAUGGUCGUCCGUGUUCAAGCCCGUAGGAUGGACUGCUAGGACCCGAUAGGGACAAACGGCAGCUUAAAGCCGAGAGGUGAUGAGGUCAGCUCCUAGAGCUGGACACUGGGUAAUCCCAUGCUUCCAAGAAAAGCCGCGUGCAGAGCCUCUUUGGUGAUCGUACUGCAAACCGACUCAGGUGGGCGGGAAGAAUAUUCCAAGGCGCGUGAGAGAACCCCGGUUAAGGAACUCGGCAAAUUGACACCGUAACUUCGGGAUAAGGUGUGCCUCCAAGGUGAACCCGUACAGGGGGAGCCGAAUGGGGUCGCAGAGAAUCGGUGGCUGCGACUGUUUAAUAAAAACACAGCACUCUGCAAAGACGAAAGUCGACGUAUAGGGUGUGACGCCUGCCCGGUGCUGGAAGAUUAAAUGAUGGGGUGCAAGCUCUUGAUUGAAGUCCCAGUAAACGGCGGCCGUAACUAUAACGGUCCUAAGGUAGCGAAAUUCCUUGUCGGGUAAGUUCCGACCUGCACGAAUGGCGUAACGACUUGGGCGCUGUCUCGACCACAGACUCGGCGAAAUUGCAUUACGAGUAAAGAUGCUCGUUACGCGCAGAAGGACGGAAAGACCCCGAGACCUUUACUAUAGUUUGGUAUUGGUGUUCGGUGUGGCUUGUGUAGGAUAGGUGGGAGACUGUGAAGCCGGCACGCCAGUGCUGGUGGAGUCAUCGUUGAAAUACCACUCUGGUCACUCUGGACAUCUAACUUCGGCCCGUGAUCCGGGUCAGGGACAGUGCCUGAUGGGUAGUUUAACUGGGGCGGUUGCCUCCCAAAAUGUAACGGAGGCGCCCAAAGGUCCCCUCAGCCUGGUUGGCAAUCAGGUGUCGAGUGCAAGUGCACAAGGGGGCUUGACUGUGAGAGAGACAUCUCGAGCAGGGACGAAAGUCGGGACUAGUGAUCCGGCACUGGCUUGUGGAAGCGGUGUCGCUCAACGGAUAAAAGGUACCUCGGGGAUAACAGGCUGAUCUUGCCCAAGAGUCCAUAUCGACGGCAUGGUUUGGCACCUCGAUGUCGGCUCGUCGCAUCCUGGGGCUGGAGUAGGUCCCAAGGGUUGGGCUGUUCGCCCAUUAAAGCGGUACGCGAGCUGGGUUCAGAACGUCGUGAGACAGUUCGGUCCCUAUCCGCUGCGCGCGUUGGAAAUUUGAGAAGGUCUGUCCUUAGUACGAGAGGACCGGGACGGACGAACCUCUGGUGUGCCAGUUGUACCGCCAGGUGCAUGGCUGAUUAGCUACGUUCGGGAUGGAUAACCGCUGAAAGCAUCUAAGCGGGAAGCCCCCCCCAAGAUUAGAUCUCCCUGGGAACUUGAUUCCCCUGAAGGGCCGUCGAAGACUACGACGUUGAUAGGUUGGGUGUGGAAGCACAGCGAUGUGUGUAGCUAACCGCCGACCAAUACACCCCACAUCAAACC